CAUGGUGGUGAUAGUAAUGGUGUGGGGAUGCUUUGCUGCCUCGGGACCUGGAUGACUUGCAAUUAUUGAAGGAACCGCGAAUACUGCUCUUUACCAGAAAAUUCUGAAGGAAUCUUGGUCAUCUGUCCCUGAGCUGAAGCUGAAGCGUCAUAUCCCAGCAUGCAUUGGGCGAGAGGCAGGAAUGCACCCUGGCCAGGUCGUGAAUCUAUUGCAGGGAGUAUCCCACACAGAUACACACUCCGUCCCUCCCACACAGAAAUAAAUAUUUCAGUUGUGGUGACAGCAGGAGAAUGAGCCAGUGACUGGAUCUGAUAUCUUAAACAAGCAGAGAGGAGGCGGAAUGUUGUUAUUCUACCAUCCGUACUAACCUGACUGCCGAGAAGGAGAGAUGAUUAUUAUUUUUAUCAGCCACUUUUAAUCAAGGUUCCAUGAAGAUUUUCAAAUUGUUUGCAAACAUAUAAUUCGGCAAAUAUUUUUUUCACUGAAAUAUGCAAUUACAAAUCCUCUGAACUCUGUGUAUCGCUGCAAGUGCUUAUGUGGAAAAACUGCAUGUUUGGCGACAAGGCUGUCCUACAAUCUUUACAUAUAUACCGCUGAACAUUUUAUUUAAUCAGUUCUUUUGUGAUGAAUUUUUCCUUUCUUGAUGUGAAAGCGGCUUCUGGCUUGUGCCACCAGAGGGCGCAGUGAGUAAGGUAUUGCAGGGGAAGGGGGAAAGAUCUGAAGUGUGCCGUUCUUAUCCACUGUGCUGAUGAAAAUUAUAGUGUCCCUCUCUGAUUGAUGCAACAUUCAACAACCAUCAAGGAUUCUAAUUUUUGAACCGUGAGCCAUGAGCUCAGUGUUGUGGAGCUUGUUGAAUCAGAAAGAACCUUCAAAGACAAUGUUUCAUGCAAAUUGUUUAGUUUUGAAUUGGAAACAUUUAAAUAGUUACGUUUCCUCAAAAGCUCUUAAACGUAAAUUUAACAGACUGAAUGCAAAUGUUUAGCACUUUCGUCCUACCAGUAUAUUAACGCUUCCAUCUGCACCCAAUCGUCCCAGUAAACCUGACCCCAUUGGACCAGCGCUGGCCCAACGUCUACUUUCCA